rnacentral:rRNA from 1 species
AUUGUACGCUGGCGGCAUGCUUUACACAUGCAAGUCGAGCGGCAGCGCGGGGGCAACCCUGGCGGCGAGCGGCGAACGGGUGAGUAAUGCAUCGGAACGUAUCCUCGAGUGGGGGAUAACCCAGCGAAAGUUGGGCUAAUACCGCAUGAGCUCUGAGGAGGAAAGCGGGGGACCUGCGAGGGCCUCGCGCUGGAGGAGCGGCCGAUGUCCGAUUAGCUAGUUGGUGGGGUAAAGGCUUACCAAGGCGACGAUCGGUAGCUGGUCUGAGAGGAUGAUCAGCCACACUGGGACUGAGACACGGCCCAGACUCCUACGGGAGGCAGCAGUGGGGAAUUUUGGACAAUGGGGGCAACCCUGAUCCAGCCAUGCCGCGUGAGUGAAGAAGGCCUUCGGGUUGUAAAGCUCUUUCGGACGGAACGAAAUGGGCGGGACUAAUACUCCUGUCUGAUGACGGUACCGUAAGAAGAAGCACCGGCUAACUACGUG